rnacentral:rRNA from 1 species
AACGGCCAUACCAUGCUGAAUAUACCGGUUCUCGUUAAAUCACCGAAGUCAAGCAUCAUUGGGCGCGGUCAGUACUUGGGUGGGUGACCACCUGGGAACACCGCGUGCCGUU